rnacentral:misc_RNA from 1 species
GAUGAAGAACGCAGCGAAAUGCGAUACGUAAUGUGAAUUGCAGAAUUCAGUGAAUCAUCGAGUCUUUGAACGCACAUUGCGCCCCCUGGUAUUCCGGGGGGCAUGCCUGUCCGAGCGUCAUUGCUGCCCUCAAGCACGGCUUGUGUGUUGGGCCUCCGUCCUCCUCCCGGGGGACGGGCCCGAAAGGCAGCGGCGGCACCGCGUCCGGUCCUCGAGCGUAUGGGGCUUCGUCACCCGCUCUUGUAGGCCCGGCCGGCGCUUGCCGACACAUCAAUCUUUUUUCCAGGUUGACCUCGGAUCAGGUAGGGAUACCCGCUGAACUUAAGCAUAUCAUAGCGGAGGA